UACGGGGGGGAGCAAGCGUUGUUCGGAUUUACUGGGCGUAAAGGGCGCGUAGGCGGCGUGACAAGUCACUUGUGAAAUCUCCGGGCUUAACUCGGAACGGUCAAGUGAUACUGUCGUGCUAGAGUACAGAAGGGGCAACUGGAAUUCUCGGUGUAGCGGUGAAAUGCGUAGAUAUCGAGAGGAACACCUGCGGCGAAGGCGGGUUGCUGGGCUGAUACUGACGCUGAGGCGCGAAAGCUAGGGGGAGCGAACGGG
rnacentral:rRNA from 1 species